rnacentral:rRNA from 1 species
AGGAUGAACGCUGGCGGCGUGCUUAACACAUGCAAGUCGAACGAUGAAGGCUGGAGCUUGCUCUGGCUGGAUUAGUGGCGAACGGGUGAGUAACACGUGAGUAACCUGCCCCAGACUCUGGGAUAAGCGCUGGAAACGGCGUCUAAUACCGGAUACGAGCUUCCACCGCAUGGUGAGGAGCUGGAAAGAAUUUCGGUCUGGGAUGGACUCGCGGCCUAUCAGCUUGUUGGUGAGGUAAUGGCUCACCAAGGCGACGACGGGUAGCCGGCCUGAGAGGGUGACCGGCCACACUGGGACUGAGACACGGCCCAGACUCCUACGGGAGGCAGCAGUGGGGAAUAGUUGCACAAUGGGCGCAAGGCCUGAUGCAGCAACGCCGCGUGAGGGGACGAAGGGCCGUUAC